rnacentral:rRNA from 1 species
UACUAGCGGUCCAAGUGGCAGCCGCGUUUAUUGGGUCUAAAACAUCCGUAGCUUGCUCGGUAAGUCUCUUGUGAAAUCUGAUGCCUUAAGUGUCAGGCGUGCAAGAGAUACUGCCAAGCUAGAGACCGGGAGGCGUAAGGAGUACGGUUAGGGUAGCGGUAAAAUGCGUUGAUCCUUUCUGGACUAACGAUAGCGAAGGCACCUUACGAGAACGGAUCUGACAGUGAGGGAUGAAGGCUAGGGGCGCAAAACGGAUUAGAUACCCCCGUA